AUUUUAAUGAGAGAAAAUAUACAUGCAAUGAACUUGGAAUGAAGACCUAAGUUGAAGCCCUUGCUUUGGCCACUUAGUAAUUAUAUGACGUUGGGCCAAUAACUUCAUCAAGAAAGGAAGGAAGAAAAGGUAUAUUUCUAUAUAUCUUCCACUGGGCUCAGGACCAGAUGCUCAAAAACCCUGAUUCAAUGCUUCAUUCUGGCAUGGAGAUGACUCUUGGUUCUCAAAGGCUGUGCCAGGAAGAAUGCACUUGGCCAAUGCUUUAUGCGCAUCUGCUCUUCCACUGAAAGUCUUAUGGACCUGGCUGGGAUGCUGAAGGUUAAGUGAUUUGCCAAGAGUCAAACAACCAAUAUGUAUCAGAGGAGCUGAUUUUCCACGAAGACAUCUGAGUGCCUAGGGAGGUCACUGGUGUGAAGACCCUAGAGAUGGAGACAAGUGGGCAAGUCAAUGCUCAAAUGGAAGACACAUUCCACUGAUAUAAGGACUGAUUUUGAUGUAAGCCUUGAGACAAGUGGUUAGCCCCUUGGGAGUCAAAAUGAAAUGUGAUCAGCAUCAUUCACAAGGGACACUUAAUAAUUGCUGAACUGAACUGAAGCAAAUUUAAUUGGACUGGACUGAACUGAAUUGAAUUGGAUUAACUCAAGUAAUGUCGGAACCACCUUGAAGCUCUGGAGGUUGUUCUGUGAAGAAAAGGAUGGGUUUCAGAAUGAGUCAUGACUUACCCAAGUCAUCCACUUCAUGAUUCUACCUCCAGGGAGAGCAGAAGUGUUCUGAAAGCAAGGAGUCCUGGGCCAGCAUCAGAGUUAAAAAGUUUUUCCAGCGAUAUUUGGACUGUAAUUGAAAGAAUAUUGGCCUCGGAAUCAUGAGAUCACAUUCUAUCACUAACUUGGUGGGUGGGCUUGGGUAAAUCACUCUAACUUCUCUGGGACUCAGUUUUCUUCAUCUGUGAAAAGGGAAAGAUAAUCUUUGAGCUGACUGCCUCAUUGGAUUUUUGUGAGGAUCAAAUAAGAUAAUUGAUGCAAAAGUACUUUGUAAACUGUAAGUACUACAUAAAAGUAAGUUAUUGCCCUCCCUUGGACUAUGAAUGUACUUUGUAAACUAUAAAGCAUAAUAUAAAAGUAAGUUAAUAUUA